rnacentral:rRNA from 1 species
GACAGAGGAUGCAAGCGUUAUCCGGAAUGAUUGGGCGUAAAGCGUCUGUAGGUGGCUUUUUAAGUCCGCCGUCAAAUCCCAGGGCUCAACCCUGGACAGGCGGUGGAAACUACCAAGCUGGAGUACGGUAGGGGCAGAGGGAAUUUCCGGUGGAGCGGUGAAAUGCGUAGAGAUCGGAAAGAACACCAACGGCGAAAGCGGCUCACUGGACCAUUACUGACGCUGAGGCACGAAAGCUAGGGGAGCAAACAGG